AUACUUACCUGGCAGGGGAGAUACCAAGGAUCAUGAAGGUGGUUCACCCAGGGCGAGGCAGGCUCAGCGCAUUGCACUUCAAGCAAAGGACUCGCGCGAACCCCCAAAUGGGGUAACCCGACUGCAUAAUUUGUGGUAGUGGGGAUCAUGUCCGCGCCUCCUGA